AGCGAGCAAGAUGGCGUCGCCCAUGGAGCGGCGUGUCUGCCGCCCGGAGUUUUCCCCCCGCGUUUGAAGCUCAAAGUCGCAACAGCUGCAACAUGUCGCGACUUAUCGUCAAGAACCUGCCGAGUGGGAUGAAGGAAGACCGCUUCCGCAACCUCUUUGCUGCCUUUGGAACCCUGACCGACUGCACCUUGAAGUUCACAAAGGACGGCAAGUUCCGCAAGUUUGGGUUCAUUGGCUUUAAAUCUGAAGAUGACGCCAAAGCUGCCUUGACACACUUGAACAAAAGUUUUAUAGAUACAGCCAAAGUCACGGUUGAGUUCUGUAAAUCUUUUGGGGAUCCACUGAAACCUAGAGCAUGGAGCAAACAUUCCCAAAAGCCACCAGAAGUCAAGAAGUUGCCUGAAAAAUCUGCAAAGAGUCCAGGCCUUACAGAAGCGAAGCAAGACAAAAAGAAGAAGGAAAAUCAAGCAGAGUUAAAAGAGCUGGAAGGCGAGGAGGCCUUUCAAGACUUUCUGGUGGUGCACAAGAAACGGUCUCAGACCGCCACUUGGUCCAACGACACAAAAGUGAAGGAGCCCAAAAAGAGCCAAGCCAAGCCGACGGAUGAUUAUUUGAAUUUUGAUUCCGACGAGUCGGAGAGUCUGAAUGAGGAGGAAGCUGAGUUUGGAGAUGGGGAACAAGAAGCUGGAAUUAACCGAGAGGAAAGCAAAAGUGCUAAAGGAAAGGCAGCAGCCAGGUCAGAGCUGUCGGACAUGGAUUACCUGAGAUCAAAAGUAGUGAAAGAUGUUGAGUCCUCACCUUCAUCUGAAGAAGAGGGCGAUGAUGAGGAAAUGGGUAACAAAGAGCCUAGCGAAGAGGAAGAGGAAGCGAAACCCAGUGCUGAGCAAAAUGCUGGCACUGGUUUUACAGCAGAAUCUGGAGUGGGUGAAAAUAUCAAGGGCCAGAAAAGUGUUGCAGAGAUCAAGAAACUGAAAGCCACAACCCAGGGAAAAGCUCCGGUCAGUGGAAAUGAGCCCACCACACCAUACACAGUGAAGCUCCGUGGUGCACCUUUCAAUGUCACAGAGCAAAACGUGAGGGAGUUUCUUGUGCCACUUCAACCGGUUGCAAUCAGAAUUGCACGAAAUGCCCAUGGGAAUAAAACAGGUUAUGUGUUUGUUGAUUUUAACAGUGAGGAAGAGGUUCAGAAGGCACUCAAACGAAAUCAUGAAUACAUGGGUGGACGGUACAUUGAGCUAUUCCGUGAAGAGUACUCUGCAAAGACAAAGCAUUCCUUUAAGGGUCCGAACCAGACAUGGCAAAGGACAAAGAAAGAUGAUGAGGAAGAUGAAGAUCUCUCUGAGUCUGGGAGACUCUUUGUGAGAAAUCUUCCCUACACCAGUACUGAGGAGGACUUGGAAGUGUUGUUUUCUAAAUACGGGCCGCUUUCUGAGAUCCACUUCCCCAUUGAUGGUCUGACUAAGAAACCCAAGGGCUUCGCCUUUGUUACCUACAUGUUCCCUGAGCAUGCUGUGAAGGCCUUUGCAGAAGUGGAUGGACAGGUUUUCCAGGGUCGAAUGUUACACGUCUUGCCUUCUACCAUUAAGAAGGAGGAAGGAGAGAGCGGCGAAGCUACAGAGGCCUCUUCCUACAAGAAACAAAAGGCAUCUAAGGACAAAGCCAAUAGUUCCAGUUCACACAACUGGAACACACUGUUUAUGGGGGUGAAUGCUGUGGCAGAUGCCGUCGCGCAGAAAUACAAUGCCACAAAGAGCCAAGUGUUGGAUCAUGAGCUCAAGGGCAGUGUGGCAGUGAGGGUAGCUCUGGGAGAAACAGAGCUUGUUCAGAAGGUCCGCCAGUUCUUGCUAGAAAAUGGUGUCAGUCUGGAUUCCUUCAGCCAGGCUGCCGGCGAGCGGAGCAAAACAGUGAUUUUAGUGAAAAACCUGCCUGCUGGAACAGAGGCAGCUGAGCUGGAAGAAGUCUUUGGGACUUAUGGCAGCCUUGGGCGGGUGUUGCUCCCCGAAGGAGGAGUGACUGCUAUUGUGGAGUUUCUGGAACCCACUGAAGCAAAGCGGGCUUUCACAAAGCUGGCCUACUCAAAGUUUCGGCAUAUUCCUCUAUACCUUGAAUGGGCACCAAUGGCGGUCUUUUCUGGCCCUGGAAAGGGAAAGCCAGAGAAUCCUGGAGACAAGGAGGAAGGUGAAGGGCAGGCACAAACUGGCAGUUCUGAAAAAGAAGAAGCUCAAAUGGAAAUGGAGGAGGCCAGAAAGGAGGAGGAGGAGGAGGAUGAAGAAGAUGAAGAUGAAAGCAUUCCAGGGUGUACCCUCUUCAUAAAGAACCUGAAUUUCAGCACUACAGAGGAAACUCUGAAAGAGGUUUUUGCCAAAGCAGGAGCCGUGAAGAACUGCACUGUUUCAAAGAAGAGAGAUAAAGCUGGGACACUCCUCUCUAUGGGAUUUGGAUUUGUGGAAUACAGGAAACCUGAACAUGCACAGAAAGCCCUGAAGCAACUACAGGGUUGUUCUGUGGACGGCCAUCAGUUAGAAGUGAAGUUAUCUGAAAGAGCUGUCAAGUCACCAGUGGCUUCAGCUCGCAAGAAGCAAACCAGCAAGAAGCAAAGGAGUUCCAAGAUCUUGGUGCGCAACAUUCCUUUCCAGGCGACAGUGAGAGAGAUCAGAGAGCUUUUCAGCACCUUUGGAGAACUGAAGACAGUCCGGCUCCCGAAGAAAAUGGUUGGAACUGGGACGCAUCGAGGUUUUGGGUUUGUGGAUUUCAUCACAAAACAGGAUGCUAAGAAAGCCUUCAACGCCCUCUGCCACAGCACCCAUUUGUAUGGCAGGAGACUAGUCUUGGAAUGGGCUGACACGGAGGAAACAGUGGAGACCUUGCGGCGGAAAACAGCUGAGCAUUUUCAUGAUUCCCCAACCAAGAAGAAAAAGCGACCGGUUGUUCUAGAAGAUAUCCUGGACAAACUGGAGGAUGAAGGAGACAGCGAUGGAGAUAGCUAGAGUUCCUUCCCCAAAACUAUGAGGGUGGAAAGGUGGUCUCAUUCCUUCAUCCCUUUCUACGUCGUUUCUCCAAAGGGUAUCCGCAUGGCACAGUUACGGUGCAUUGAUAUCACUUUCCUUUCGUGGCUUUGUCUUGUGGGAUCCUGGAAUUUGCAGUUUGCCAAGGGACUUCAAAAUUCCCUGCCUAGUGCUGUAGUAAUGGAAGUUUUGAGCCGAGGUCGAGAAGACGUUGAUGCCGUGACGUCCGAAUGGAUCCCAUGCUUUAAACCCUCUCCAAAGAAGAGUACGCUGAGAAAGAGUACAGCGAAACUAGGUGGCUGUAAUACUCCUCCAUUGAUACCUUGGGUUCUCUCCUUUCGCUGGAGUAGCAUUAGAGAACACAACAAUGGCAGGGUUUGCCUGCCAACCUGGAGAACUGCCACCUUGGCUUUUUCUAAACCGGGAGAUGCAGCCAACCUUCUCAGAAAACAGCUUAGCUGCAGCUGUGUUCUUAUUUUAUGUUAUUUUUCUCCUUAACAACCUGUACGGUUUUGGAAAAUAAUGUACAUAAUUAAAAGGAAAAAACUAAACAUAUUGCUAAUGAACCCAUCUGGACAUUGAUAGAGAGCACUAUUUAAUAUGAUUUUGCCUAUUAUUGGUUUCGUUGUGUGACGUUCACCUGUUACCCAGGCAUCUCUGCCCACCACCUCUGAGUCUUGGCAACUGGGCAGAUGUGGAAAGCUAAGGGGACACAUUAUUUCCCCGGGGGAAUUUGAAAAGCUGCACAUAAACACCCCACCAAAAAGUUGCCAUCAAAUGCCCUCUGGGGGCAUAAGGUCUUUACAACAACAGGGUGAGAAAUAGUUGCUUACUGUUCCCUUCUUGUUUCAAAAAAGACCUCUCCCGGGCCUAAAUUUGAGGGAACUCCGGGGGGCCACAUGUGACCCAUAGGCCUUGCUUUGCUCACCCCUGUACUGUGCCAUAAGUGCUCAAGUAUAUAGGUGCAAAGUGAGAAUCAUAGUGACAGUGGAGCUGGAAGGGUCACUGGUUUGGAUUCGCAGGAUUGGCAAAGCAAGA